rnacentral:rRNA from 1 species
GUUGAACGCUGGCGGCAUGCCUUACACAUGCAAGUCGAACGGCAGCACGGGAACAAUCCUGGUGGCGAGUGGCGAACGGGUGAGUAAAGCAUCGGAACGUGCCCAGUCGUGGGGGAUAACGUAGCGAAAGCUACGCUAAUACCGCAUACGAUCUGUGGAUGAAAGCGGGGGACCGUAAGGCCUCGCGCGAUUGGAGCGGCCGAUGUCAGAUUAGGUAGUUGGUGAGGUAAAGGCUCACCAAGCCGACGAUCUGUAGCUGGUCUGAGAGGACGACCAGCCACACUGGGACUGAGACACGGCCCAGACUCCUACGGGAGGAAGCAGUGGGGAAUUUUGGGCAAUGGGCGCAAGCCUGAUCCAGCAAUGCCGCGUGCAGGAUGAAGGCCUUCGGGUUGUAAACUGCUUUUGUACGGAGCGAAAAGGCUUCCACUAAUACUGGGGGCUCAUGACGGUACCGUAAGAAUAAGCACCGGCUAACUACGUGCCAGCCGCCGCGGUAAAAC